CAGGUAGUCCAGCUCCACCAGAAAGUCACAUCCAUCUGUGCCAUUACAAGACAGUUUGCUGUGGCUCAACGCAGUUUCAACAGUGUGGCAGAGAUGGACCAUUACACGAGAAGAGCUUGACAGGGGGAGAGAAGAAAAUCAAUCCAGCAGAAGGCCUAGCAUCUGCUUCUUUGGAGAAAUAGAUUUCAGUACAGAUACUCAACAAGUAUCAGCAAACACAAAAACUCUUUCUGUGCAGUUUUUCAAAGAGUUUUGCAAGUUUCCCGGCCUGUCUACGAGCUAAAGGUGAGCGGGCAGCAAAGCGACAUGGACACCCAAGUUUGCAAAUGCAAUAACUCAAGAAUGAG